AACAGAUUCAUAACCACCCUCGUAAACAUAAGAGACAUAUAUAUGAUUGCAAAAGAACAGAAAUUACCUAUAUGACUGCUAAAGAACAGAAAUUACCUAUGCAACGUUUGAGGUAUUCCAAAAAUAUUAAGUUACCUUGUUGACAUAGUUAUGGGACCACCAUCUUACAGUAAGCCAUUGAGGACGACCAAAGAGCUGCAGGAAAAAUAAAAGAAUGCAUCAAAAUAUAUUCAUAUAUGAUCAACUUAAGCUCCAUGUAUAU
rnacentral:lncRNA from 1 species